rnacentral:rRNA from 1 species
UACAGAGAGUGCAAGCGUUAAUCGGAAUUACUGGGCGUAAAGAGCGCGUAGGUGGGCACUUAAGUCGGAUGUGAAAUCCCCGGGCUUAACCUGGGAACUGCAUCCGAUACUGGGUGCCUAGAGUAUGGUAGAGGGAAGUGGAAUUUCCGGUGUAGCGGUGAAAUGCGUAGAUAUCGGAAAGAACACCAGUGGCGAAAGCGGCUUCCUGGCCCAAUACUGACACUGAGGUGCGAAAGCGUGGGGAGCAAACAGG